GAAGCAGGUGGAACGGGCAGUCGUGCUGAACUGCUGCAGCUGUGUGCUCAGGGGCACCCACCACAGCCCAAGGCCCUGGUGGCACCAGGUGUCAGAGGAGUAAUUUAGGGAUGGCAUGGCUGAGUAGGUUUGCAGGUUUGUAGAGGCUCUGGGUAUUUCCGGUGUUGCAGCUCCUAAGGCUGGAUCUUCUAAGGAAAAAACUGGUUGGACUUGCUCUCAGAAGAGCAGUGUUGAGCUCCUCAGUUCCAUGUACCGACCAGCUGCAAGGCAGAAAAUGGUUGAGGAGGUCAGAGAAGAUUCAAACUAGGGUCCAGACAGAGAGUACAGAGACUUUCUUGAGUGUUUAUUAAAUGCACGGAGAGGAAAAAACUACCCAGCCUGUUCAAUUACUAACCCGUAGUGCUGGUUGGAAAACCAAAUAUCUAUUCUCCAGGGUAGCUACAUUGUACUCCAACAUGUGAAGAUUUGGUUUCUUUUAUAAUUGGAAUGAAAUAUUGAAUUUUUUUUGGAAAGGAAUUCUCUUGCUCUUCCAUCUGAAUACUAGCUGA